AUUGAACGCUGGCGGCAUGCUUUACACAUGCAAGUCGAACGGUAACAGGCCUUCGGGUGCUGACGAGUGGCGAACGGGUGAGUAAUGCAUCGGAACGUGCCCAAUCGUGGGGGAUAACGUAGCGAAAGUUACGCUAAUACCGCAUAAGCCCUGAGGGGGAAAGCAGGGGAUCGCAAGACCUUGCGCGAAUGGAGCGGCCGAUGUCAGAUUAGCUAGUUGGUGGGGUAAAGGCCUACCAAGGCGACGAUCUGUAGCGGGUCUGAGAGGAUGAUCCGCCACACUGGGACUGAGACACGGCCCAGACUCCUACGGAGGCAGCAGUGGGGAAUUUUGGACAAUGGGCGCAAGCCUGAUCCAGCCAUGCCGCGUGCGGGACGAAGGCC
rnacentral:rRNA from 1 species